ensembl:snRNA U6 U6 spliceosomal RNA
AUGACUUCUGAAGCAUACAUAUUAAAACUGAAACAAUGUGGAGGAGAAGAUCAGCAUGGCCCUGUGCAAGGGUGAUACAUAGAUUCAUGAUGAAUUCCAUAUUUUU